rnacentral:rRNA from 1 species
UACAGAGGGUGCGAGCGUUGUCCGGAAUCACUGGGCGUAAAGGGCGCGUAGGCGGGAUGGCAAGUCAGUCGUGAAAUCUCUCGGCUCAACCGAGAAACGUCGGCUGAUACUGCCGUUCUUGAGGGAUGCAGAGGAGACUGGAAUUCCCGGUGUAGCGGUGAAAUGUGUAGAGAUCGGGAGGAACACCGGUGGCGAAGGCGGGUCUCUGGGCAUUUCCUGACGCUGAGGCGCGAAAGCGUGGGGAGCAAACGGG